AAAGGGCAGCUACACAGCGAUGUGAUGCUAAUCUCCAAACCAUGUCUCAGUUCGGAUCGGAGUCUGCAACUCGACUCCGUGAAGCUGGAUUCGCUAGUAAUCGCGCAUCAGCCAUGGCGCGGUGAAUACGUUCCCGGGCCUUGUACACACCGCCCGUCAAGCCAUGGGAGCCGGGGGUACCUGAAGUCCGUAACCGCGAGGAUCGGCCUAGGGUAAAACUGGUGACUGGGGCUAAGUCGUAACAAGGUAAC
rnacentral:rRNA from 1 species